UACGUAGGGGGCGAGCGUUGUCCGAAGUUACUGGGCGUAAAGGGUGCGUAGGCGGGUCUUUAAGUCAGGGGUGAAAUCCUGGAGCUCAACUCCAGAACUGCCUUUGAUACUGAAGAUCUUGAGUUCGGGAGAGGUGAGUGGAACUGCGAGUGUAGAGGUGAAAUUCGUAGAUAUUCGCAAGAACACCAGUGGCGAAGGCGGCUCACUGGCCCGAUACUGACGCUGAGGCACGAAAGCGUGGGGAGCAAACAGG
rnacentral:rRNA from 1 species